UACGUAGGGGGCUAGCGUUGUCCGGAAUCAUUGGGCGUAAAGAGCGCGUAGGCGGCUGGAAUAGUCCGGUGUGAAAUCCACAGGCUUAACCUGUGAAUGCCGCUCGAAACUGUCUGGCUAGAGUCCGGAAGGGGCAAGUGGAAUUCCUGGUGUAGCGGUGAAAUGCGCAGAUAUCGGGAGGAACACCAGUGGCGAAGGCGGCACUCUGGGCCAGUACUGACGCUGAGGCGCGAAAGCCAGGGGAGCAAACGGG
rnacentral:rRNA from 1 species